rnacentral:rRNA from 1 species
GACGAACGCUGGCGGCGUGCUUAACACAUGCAAGUCGAACGGAAAGGCCCUGCUUUUGUGGGGUGCUCGAGUGGCGAACGGGUGAGUAACACGUGAGUAACCUGCCCUUGACUUUGGGAUAACUUCAGGAAACUGGGGCUAAUACCGGAUAGGAGCUCCUGCUGCAUGGUGGGGGUUGGAAAGUUUCGGCGGUUGGGGAUGGACUCGCGGCUUAUCAGCUUGUGGGUGGGGUAGUGGCUUACCAAGGCUUUGACGGGUAGCCGGCCUGAGAGGGUGAGCGGCGGGAGUGGGACGGAGACAGGGCCCAGACGGCGACGGGAGGCAGCAGGGGGGAAUCGUCAGCAAUGGACGAGAGUCUGACGGGGCAAGGCCGCGUGAGUGAGGAGGGCCGGCGGGUGGUAAAGAUCUGUUAAGCGGGACGAAAGGCCUUCUUGCGAAGAGUGAGAAGGAUGGACGGGACCGGAAGAGAAAGCCAAGGCUAACUACGUG